AAGUCGUAACAAGGUUUCCGUAGGUGAACCUGCGGAAGGAUCAUUAAAAAUGAACCACUCUCCUCGGAGAGUAUCUUCAACCACUGUGAACUACCCGUUGCUUCGGCGGCAUUCUUCGGAUGUCAGCCCGUCCGAGGCCAAACCAAAACUCUUCUGUAAAUUUAUGUCAGAUACGAAAAGUAAAUCGUUAAAACUUUCAACAACGGAUCUCUUGGUUCUC
rnacentral:misc_RNA from 1 species